AGAGCUUCAACGGGAAUUCCAGGCUACAGGAGUUUUACAAGGUCCUGUCGACGAACCACGAUGGGAAGCUAGAAUUCAUCUCCACUAUCGAAGCCUACCAGUAUCCAAUUUAUGGAUUACAGUGGCAUCCGGAGAAAACCCCCUUCGAGUGGAUCGACAAACCGGGGAUGAUUCACUCCACCGCUGCAAUAAGAGUCUCCUUCUACUCUGGCAGCUUCUUCGUCUCUGAAGCCAGGAAGAGCACCCAUCGUUUCCCGAGUCAGGAGGAGGAAGAGAGAGCGCUCAUCUACAACUACUCUCCCAUCUUCACUGGCAAUGGGUCCAUCUUCAUGCAGAUCUAUUACUUUGAUUGAUGCUGAACCCGUCACUGGAGGGAAAUCUCAAACCUGAUGGAGUCAGUGACAUUGAAACCUCCAA